rnacentral:rRNA from 1 species
UACGUAGGCAGCGAGCGUUGUUCGGAGUUACUGGGCGUAAAGCGUGCGUAGGCGGUGUCUUAAGUUUGUUGUGAAAUCUCCCGGCUUAACCGGGAGGGUGCGGCGAAUACUGAGAUGCUGGAGUGCGGGAGAGGUAAGCGGAAUUCCUGGUGUAGCGGUGAAAUGCGUAGAUAUCAGGAGGAACACCUGCGGUGUAGACGGCUUACUGGACCGUAACUGACGCUGAGGCACGAAAGCGUGGGGAUCAAACAGG